rnacentral:rRNA from 1 species
GACAGAGGGUGCAAACGUUGUUCGGAAUUACUGGGCGUAAAGCGUGUGUAGGCGGCCCUGCAAGUCGGAUGUGAAAGCCCCGGGCUCAACCCGGGAAGUGCACCCGAAACUGCAGGGCUCGAGUACCGGAGAGGUUGGUGGAAUUCUCGGUGUAGAGGUGAAAUUCGUAGAUAUCGAGAGGAACACCGGUGGCGAAGGCGGCCAACUGGACGAGUACUGACGCUGAGACACGAAAGCGUGGGGAGCAAACAGG